GCAGCACUUCCGGCGGCGGCCAUGGUGGCAGGGCUAAGGAGAGGAAGGGGGAGGCGUAGAGGCUGGCGGAGGUGGUGGUUGCGCUAGAGCGAUCCUGGCUUAUCCGUGGCUGCUCUGGUUAGUUGGGUAGGAGGAGGGCACGGGGGCUAUUUGGAGGCCGAGGAGAUGAAGGUGCUGCUGGCGGAGCCAGUCGACAACGGAGAGGAUUCCGCCGGUCGACAACGGAGAGGAUGAGAAUGGCAACUUCCUACACUACUAACCAGUGACGAAGAACAUUAGCCGAUGAGCAUACUAUCAGCAUCGAUGGAUAAGAUGAUGAUAUGAAAGCCGGAGGAAAAUAUUGGUGUUUGGAUUAUAAAUUUUGUGAUUGUUGUUAAUUCACUAAGCACUCAGAUCCUAUGGUGGCCAUUGUGAAUAUGACGGAUAUAUUUUAUAUGUGAAGAGAUGUUGGACUAAGCAGAGCCUCGCGUAGUCCAAUUAGCUCAUUUUGUAUUCGGGUCUGUUUUAACAUGGUCAGGAUUUGGUGAAUAUUUGUUAUCCUAAGUGUACAGAAUAAUUUUAAUUGUAUGUGUUUCAAACAAUUUGGUUAGAUAGACAAAGUCAAUUGAAUGAAACAAAAAGUUAUCUUGGAAAUUCAACGG